rnacentral:piRNA from 1 species
UAGGAGUGUGAAGGUUGCCAAUAUAAGCAU